rnacentral:rRNA from 1 species
UACGAAGGGUGCAAGCGUUAAUCGGAAUUACUGGGCGUAAAGCGUGCGUAGGCGGUUUCUUAAGUCUGCUGUGAAAUCCCCGGGCUCAACCUGGGAAUGGCAGUGGAUACUGGGAAGCUAGAGUGUGAGAGAGGAUGGUGGAAUUCCCGGUGUAGCGGUGAAAUGCGUAGAGAUCGGGAGGAACAUCAGUGGCGAAGGCGGCCAUCUGGCUCAACACUGACGCUGAGGCACGAAAGCGUGGGGAGCAAACAGG